AAACCAACCGGGAUUGCCCCAGUAACGGCGAGUGAAGCGGCAAGAGCUCAGAUUUGAAAUCUGCUACCUGAUGGUAGCCGAGUUGUAGCGUGUAGAGUGCUGUCCCGGAUGUGCGGCGCUGCCUAGGUUCCCUGGAAGGGGACGCCGGAGAGGGUGAGAGCCCCGUGAGGCGGUGGACACGCGGCAUCCGUGUGGGAGGGCGCUCGAGGAGUCGAGUUGUUUGGGAAUGCAGCUCCAAGUGGGUGGUAAACUCCAUCUAAAGCUAAAUACAGGCGAGAGACCGAUAGCGAACAAGUACAGUGAUGGAAAGAUGAAAAGCACUUUGAAAAGAGAGUGAAACAGCACGUGAAAUUGUUGAAAGGGAAGGGCAGCUGCUCAGACAUGGCAGGUUGCGUCCCCUGCUCCCUGUGGGCGGGGGGUUCCACGCGGCGUGCUGGGCCAGCAUCAGUUUUGGCGGCAGGAGAAAACGGGCGGGAACGUAGCCGCGUCCCUGUGGGCGUGGUGUUAUAGCUCGCCUGGGAAUGCUUGCCAGCCGGGACUGAGGGAGGCGACACUUGUUGUCACGGAUGCUGGCAUAAUGGGUAGGUGCCGC
rnacentral:rRNA from 1 species